UACGACGUAUCUAGAGUUUGUAUCCUGGCGUCAGGAUGAACGCUGGCGGCGUGCAUAACACAUUCAAGUCGAACGGUGACGCACCUUCGGGUGCAGAUCAGUGGCGGACGGGUGAGUAACGCGUGAGCAACCUGCCUGUGAAAGAGGGAUAACACAUGGAAACGUGUGCUAAUACCGCAUGAAGCAACUUAGUCGCAUGUCUGUGUUGUUAAAGGGAAACCGAUCACAGAUGGGCUCGCGUAUGAUUAGGCAGUUGGUGAGGUAACGGCUCACCAAACCGACGAUCAUUAGCCGAACUGAGAGGUUGAACGGCCACAUUGGAACUGAGAAACGGUCCAG
rnacentral:rRNA from 1 species